CCUACGGGUGGCAGCAGUGGGGAAUAUUGCACAAUGGGGGAAACCCUGAUCCAGCGACGCCGCGUGCGUGAAGAAGUAAUUCGUUAUGUAAAGCUCUAUCAGCAGGGAAGCAAAUGACGGUACCUGAGUAAGCAGCCCCGGCUCACUCCGUGCCAGCAGCCGCGGGAAUACGUAGGGGGCAAGCGUUAUCCGGAUUUACUGGGUGUAAAGGGAGCGUAGACGGCAGGGCAAGUCCGGAGUGAAAGGCGGGGUGUCAACCCCCGGACUGCUGUGGAAACUGUACGGCUGGAGAGCAGGAGAGGUAAGUGGAAUGCGUAGUGUAGCGGUGAAAUGCGUAGAUAUUAGGAGGAACACCGGUUGCGAAGGCGGCUUACUGGACUGUAACUGACGUUGAGGCUCGAAAGCGUGGGGAGCGAACAGGAUUAGAUACCCCGGUAGUC
rnacentral:rRNA from 1 species